AGACGCCCAAAAUUCCGCCUCUGCAGAGUCACUCCUUGGUUUGGUGCGACCUAGGAAGGGUGACACACACACACACAUACACACCGCUGUGAGUUUGGCAGACCCGUCCUUAAAAUGGGCGCCGGGCACGUGCGGGACUCGGGACCUGGAGAAAAUGGGAUGGAUCGCCACUUGGCAAGUACAGAGCUCCAGAGACCGAAGCUGAGGACAGCCUUUCAACUCCAGCAAAGAAACCAUCCGCCCAGCGGCUGGUGGGAUGAAGGUGAAGGCUGCCUGCGAUGAGCCCUCCCCUGGCUAGUUAUCAUUGCCCUGCAUCUCAAACUCCAGACCAAGACCCCUGAACCUGGAGCCCACUCAGCCUUCGGAGCUUCUGUUUCCUAUAGAAUAUCAUUCAUUCUCUGACAGAAUCUGCAGGAAGAGGGUUCACAGUCCAUUUCUGUUAAUAAAUUGCCUCUGUGUAAGGAAAAAAAAUC